rnacentral:lncRNA from 1 species
GGACGGGAAAGGGUUCGGGCUGAGAGCCUGCGGCGGGGCCGCCGUGCCGGGGCUUUGAACUCGGACGGAAGGUGAACCAGAACUUUUGGAACUAGUGCCGGCGGCUUUCCACCCCCAGGCCCACUUGAAGCAGUUCAGGAAACCUUUGCCAAGAGCCUCCGCCAGAGCUCAGCCCUCAAAUUCUGCUGGAAGCAGAGUCUGUUAUCUGUCAUCAUCCAUAAAUGUUUACGUGAUGAGAGGAAUGGUUUACUCGACCGAUGUGCGCCAAGGCCGACUCGACGAGGCUCCAUGGGGGUGGAUGCAAAGGAGACUCAAGUAGAAAAG